rnacentral:ncRNA from 1 species
GAUACCAGGAGAGAUCGCAUACUGUAUGCGACGCCGAAGGGGCUGUGCCGGAAACUCUCAGGCAAAAAGGACUGGUA